rnacentral:rRNA from 1 species
UACGGAGGGGGCAAGCGUUAUUCGGAAUUAUUGGGCGUAAAGAGCUCGUAGGCGGUGUGUCACGUCGGCCGUGAAAACCUGCAGCUUAACUGUGGGCUUGCGGUCGAUACGGGCAUCACUGGAGUUCGGCAGGGGAGACUGGAAUUCCUGGUGUAGCGGUGAAAUGCGCAGAUAUCAGGAGGAACACCUGCGGUGUAGACGGCUUACUGGACGGUAACUGACGCUGAGGCACGAAAGCGUGGGUAGCAAACAGG